GCAGUUGGAAUCGUAGCUUAGCUAUCAGAUUGUAUAUAUUCCUCCUUUUGAUGAAGACAAGUCUUGAGAGUGGAACUUGAUAUAAAAGUCAAAAGCUUUUGAUAGUGAAUCACAGAUUGCAAUAGAUUUGGUGAUGAAAAGAUGGUUUCUUUGACAGUGAGUUUAUAUUUGAUCCGGUGAAAUGGCUGAGACACCAAGUGGGUGAAGAUUUUCAAGCUAUUGCGCAAACAGACGGUGCCAUGAACUCGGUUGUGCGUGUGCCUUUAACUUUGAUCAAAUAAUCUUUUAACAGUUUCUUCUCAUCGCUUACAAAAAAAAAUGGCAAGCAAUAUGGAGAUUUUCUGCGAGAUCUUAAUCGCGAUCCUUCUUCCGCCUCCUGGAGUCUGCCUCAAGCGUGGCUGCUGCACUCUAGAGUUCUUGAUAUGCUUUGUAUUGACUAUCUUAGGCUACAUCCCAGGGAUAAUCUAUGCUAUACGUGAUCGUGUUUCAGAACCGUGAAGGGGAAACUGAGGACUACAGUGCUCCAUUUCGGCCUUUGAUGCAGGCGUGAAGCUGAUUGGAGCAACAAGCCACUUUGUUACUGAGGAACUUGAUGCAAGGCCUAUCAUUAAACAAAUGGUAACUUUGUCUGCCAACUAUUUGAUUAGUACCUUCUACAAGAUGAUUGUAAAGCAUAAGCGAACGUGUAGACUGUGGAGUUACACUAGGGUUAGUGGUAAAAUGAAGAUUAUGGGGAUUGUGAAGAAGCACGUUACGGUUAAAAUGAACUGCACGAUGGAUGUGACUGUGAACAUCCCGCGACGACAGGCCAUUCAAGAUGUCGAGUGCAACUGCAAGAACAAUAUCGAUCUUUAAGUUUUUGGUUUCCACAUUAGGAUUUGUCUCAACGUUCUUAAUAGUUUCAUUACCAAAUUAUUUGGUCAUUUGAUUAUAGCAGCACCAUGUACAAGUGUGUUUUGACUUUCUCGUACUUCUUUAAGAAAAUUGUUUUUCUUUACACUUGCUAUGAUUUUGAAUGGAGUAAAUAUGAGGUUUGUACUA